rnacentral:rRNA from 1 species
GAUGAACGCUGGCGGCGUGCCUAAUACAUGCAAGUCGAGCGAACAGAUGAGGAGCUUGCUCCUCUGACGUUAGCGGCGGACGGGUGAGUAACACGUGGAUAACCUACCUAUAAGACUGGGAUAACUUCGGGAAACCGGAGCUAAUACCGGAUAAUAUAUUGAACCGCAUGGUUCAAUAGUGAAAGACGGUUUUGCUGUCACUUAUAGAUGGAUCCGCGCCGCAUUAGCUAGUUGGUAAGGUAACGGCUUACCAAGGCAACGAUGCGUAGCCGACCUGAGAGGGUGAUCGGCCACACUGGAACUGAGACACGGUCCAGACACCUACGGGAGGCAGCAGUAGGGAAUCUUCCGCAAUGGGCGAAAGCCUGACGGAGCAACGCCGCGUGAGUGAUGAAGGUCUUCGGAUCGUAAAACUCUGUUAUUAGGGAAGAACAAAUGUGUAAGUAACUAUGCACGUCUUGACGGUACCUAAUCAGAAAGCCACGGCUAACUACGUG